CGUACACUCCUACGGGAGGCAGCAGUGGGGAAUAUUGGACAAUGGGCGCAAGCCUGAUCCAGCCAUGCCGCGUGAGUGAUGAAGGCCCUAGGGUUGUAAAGCUCUUUCACCGGAGAAGAUAAUGACGGUAUCCGGAGAAGAAGCCCCGGCUAACUUCGUGCCAGCAGCCGCGGUAAUACGAAGGGGGCUAGCGUUGUUCGGAAUUACUGGGCGUAAAGCGCACGUAGGCGGAUCGAUCAGUCAGGGGUGAAAUCCCAGGGCUCAACCCUGGAACUGCCUUUGAUACUGUCGAUCUGGAGUAUGGAAGAGGUGAGUGGAAUUCCGAGUGUAGAGGUGAAAUUCGUAGAUAUUCGGAGGAACACCAGUGGCGAAGGCGGCUCACUGGUCCAUUACUGACGCUGAGGUGCGAAAGCGUGGGGAGCAAACAGGAUUAGAAACCCGGGUAGUCCCA
rnacentral:rRNA from 1 species